rnacentral:lncRNA from 1 species
GCCGCGGAAGCCAAAGAACACAGGAGGAAAGAAUAGAAAAACUCUAAAGAGAAAAAUUCAAGAGAAAUUCAUUGAAUUUUCAAAAAACGAAGCGAUGGGAGGUAAGAUUUCGCUAUUUAGCUUAAGGUCUACCUUACCCAUGCUUUCUUUUUCAUUUUCUGUGGUUGAAACUCAAGUUUUCAUGAUGGAAGCAUGCUGGCCGAAUGAAGGGGGGGAGGAUUUAAGGAUGGAUUUUGCUAGAUUUCAUGUUAUCUAGGUGUUUUUAGUGUUUUUGUGAUAUUCAGUAUGAAAAACAAGUAAGAAAACAUGUUCUUCAUCAAACCCUAAUUUGACCGAAUUCUAUAGGGAAUAUUUUGAAGAUGAAUUUUGUCAUAUUUCAUGUUAUCUAGCUCGUAUUUGAUGAUUCGUGAUGUCGGAUAUCGAAAAUGGUUAUCGAAAAGUAUAGUCCUUUAGUAAACGACUUGAACGAUAAUGAGAAAAUUAUGGUAAAUGGAUUUAGAAUUGAUUUCUAAUGAGGUAUACGGACUUAUUGGAGUACCGAAAGUGCAAUGAAUCUAUUUGGAGUUGAAUUGGAUGUUUUGGCUGAUUAAACAGUGUAUAGUGUGAGUUAGAUCGAACACCAUUUCAGUCCAACAACAAUUGAACCUACGUAAAACACCAUCUUUAAGUGAUUAUUCAAAUACUUCGUAUUCAAUUUCAUGCAUUCAUAAAGAGCCUGAAAUAGUCUUAUAACAGUUUGGCACAAGUGUAUUGAAUUACUUAUUGUGCAUUAUGUAUAGGUGGUGAGCCCUCUGGUAAGGGUAAGGAUAUCAUACCCGAGGACUAGGAGUAGGAGUACUCCCGUUAUUGUGAGUAAUCAGACAAUCAUCUUAACUAUCUAAAGUAGUUUAUACUCAUUUUUUUUGAUUUUAAAGAAUAAUGAGUUUAAAUUGUAAAUUAUUAUGUUUUAAAAUUGAAGUGUUGGUUAAACGAAAUGAGAUUUUUAACUUGUUUUGAAAUUGAAUACUGGUUUUGGAAAUUGAGUAAGUGGAGACUAUAUACUCGUGUUUGAUAUAUGGUUUGAAUUGAUGGCUUAUGACAAUGUGAUGGCAUGAAUGGCUGGAUUUAUGUUUGUGUGGAAUAUAUGAACUAUUUUGUUUUAUCUUGACAGACUAGGUAAUAUCAUAUUAGCCAUGUCAUACUGCCGAAAUUUUUAUUGAUUUGGUGGGGAAAUUGAUUAGCUUACUGCAGUGGGCCGGUUUCCGUGGACCGACCUAUUUGAGAGGCAUGGUAAACCCCGUUAUAUUUUACCUCAGUAAGAGAGGCGCGGAGGGUAUCUCCUAAGGUAGUUUAGAGUUCAUUUCACGUCGAACCACCACGUGAGGGUGAAACUCAGCCAACGCCAAGGAACGACUAUGUUUUUAAAUGUAAAAAUAUGUUUUAUGUGUAUAUGUUAUUUUAACAGCCUUGACAGACUCGGUUUGAUGGCCUACGCAAGGUGUCACCGAGCACAAGUUUUGGCACGAGCCAAGUUUUUAAAAGAAUCAUAAGCCUUGUUGAUUUUUUAUAAAAUGUAACUGUUUUAUAUGGGUUGAAAUGAGUUUUAAUGUUAUGAAUCAUAUUAUGAAGAGAUGCUUUAACUGUUUUAUAUAGAUGAACUUUGCUUACUCACUGGAUUUAUAAAAACUCACCCCCUUCUUUUCACUGAUUUUAGGUUCAAAGCAAUCUGUAGACAGUCGAUUUUGACGAGGGUUUGCUUUUGGAUUUGCACCCUUAGAAAUCGUAAGUCUACAGUCCUGUUUACUUUUGUUAUUUUGGGGUUCACAUGUCAUUGUAAAAUAUUUUUGUAUACCCU